UGUCUUUGUUAUAUUAACUAGAUACUAUUUCAAGUGGUGUUUCACUAGUUUUGUGUGUUUGUUAGCCAUAUAGUAUGCAUAUUAUCUAUUUUUCUAUAGAGAGGUUCAAAACUUUAUAGUCUAAAAAGGAUCCAAAGCC